rnacentral:rRNA from 1 species
GGUCAAGUGAAGAAGCGCAUACGGUGGAUGCCUUGGCAGUCAGAGGCGAUGAAAGACGUGGUAGCCUGCGAUAAGCUUCGGGGAGUCGGCAAACAGACUUUGAUCCGGAGAUCUCUGAAUGGGGAAACCCACUUGGCAUAAGCCAGGUAUCUUGCACUGAAUACAUAGGUGUAAGAGGCGAACCAGGGGAACUGAAACAUCUAAGUACCCUGAGGAAAAGAAAUCAACCGAGAUUCCCUUAGUAGUGGCGAGCGAACGGGGACUAGCCCUUAAGCUUCUUUGAAUCUAACAGAACGCUCUGGAAAGUGCGGCCAUAGUGGGUGAUAGCCCCGUAUGUGAAAGGUUCUUUGAAGUGAAAUCGAGUAGGACGGAGCACGAGAAACUUUGUCUGAAUAUGGGGGGACCAUCCUCCAAGGCUAAAUACUACUGACUGACCGAUAGUGAACCAGUACCGUGAGGGAAAGGCGAAAAGAACCCCGGAGAGGGGAGUGAAAUAGAACCUGAAACCGUAUGCGUACAAGCAGUGGGAGCCUACUUUGUUAGGUGACUGCGUACCUUUUGUAUAAUGGGUCAGCGACUUAUAUUCAGUGGCGAGCUUAACCGAAUAGGGAAGGCGUAGCGAAAGCGAGUCUUAAUAGGGCGAAUUAGUCGCUGGGUAUAGACCCGAAACCGGGCGAUCUAUCCAUGAGCAGGUUGAAGGUUAGGUAACACUGACUGGAGGACCGAACCCACUCCCGUUGAAAAGGUAGGGGAUGACUUGUGGAUCGGAGUGAAAGGCUAAUCAAGCUCGGAGAUAGCUGGUUCUCCUCGAAAGCUAUUUAGGUAGCGCCUCACGUAUCACUCCAGGGGGUAGAGCACUGUUUCGGCUAGGGGGUCAUCCCGACUUACCAAACCGAUGCAAACUCCGAAUACCUGGAAGUGUCAGCGUGGGAGACACACGGCGGGUGCUAACGUCCGUCGUGAAAAGGGAAACAACCCAGACCGUCAGCUAAGGUCCCAAAGUUAUGGUUAAGUGGUAAACGAUGUGGGAAGGCUUAGACAGCUAGGAGGUUGGCUUAGAAGCAGCCACCCUUUAAAGAAAGCGUAAUAGCUCACUAGUCGAGUCGGCCUGCGCGGAAGAUGUAACGGGGCUCAAACCAUACACCGAAGCUACGGGUGCAUCGCAAGAUGCGCGGUAGAGGAGCGUUCUGUAAGCCUGUGAAGGUGAGUUGAGAAGCUUGCUGGAGGUAUCAGAAGUGCGAAUGCUGACAUGAGUAACGACAAUGGGAGUGAAAAACUCCCACGCCGAAAGACCAAGGGUUCCUGCGCAACGUUAAUCGACGCAGGGUUAGUCGGUCCCUAAGGCGAGGCUGAAGAGCGUAGUCGAUGGGAAACAGGUUAAUAUUCCUGUACUUCUAGUUACUGCGAUGGAGGGACGGAGAAGGCUAGGCCAGCUUGGCGUUGGUUGUCCAAGUUUAAGGUGGUAGGCAGAGAUCUUAGG